AGGCGAGUAGAGUAGAGUAGAAUAGACAGGCGAGGCGAGUAGAGUAGAAUAGACAGGCGAGGCGAACAGAGUAGAGUAGACAGGCGAGGCGAGUAGAGUAGAGUAGAGUGAGAAUAGACAGGCGAGGCGAGUAGAGUAGAGUAGAAUAGACAGGCGAGGCGAGUAGAGUAGAGUAGAAUAGACAGGCGAGUAGAGUAGAGUAGAGUAGAAUAGACAGGCGAGGCGAGUAGAGUAGACAAGACAGACAGGUGAGUAGACAGACAGGUGAGUAGACAAGACAGACGAGGUGAGGUGAGUAGACAAGACAGACGAGGUGAGGUAGAGUAGAGUAGAAUAGACAGGCGAGGCGAGGCGAGUAGA
ensembl:lncRNA